UGGGGAAUAUUGCGCAAUGGGCGAAAGCCUGACGCAGCAACGCCGCGUGGGGGAUGAAGGCCUUCGGGUUGUAAACCCCUUUCAGCAGGGCAGAAGCGAGAGUGACGGUACCUGCAGAAGAAGCACCGGCUAACUACGUGCCAGCAGCCGCGGUAAUACGUAGGGUGCAAGCGUUGUCCGGAAUUAUUGGGCGUAAAGAGCUCGUAGGCGGUCUGUCGCGUCUGCUGUGAAAGUUCGGGGCUCAACCCCGGAACUGCAGUGGGUACGGGCAGACUAGAGUGCGGUAGAGGAGACUGGAAUUCCUGGUGUAGCGGUGGAAUGCGCAGAUAUCAGGAGGAACACCAGUGGCGAAAGCGGCUCUCUGGUCCGGAUCUGACGCUGAGGCGCGAAAGCGUGGGGAGCAAACAGGAUUAGAUACCCGCGUAGUCC
rnacentral:rRNA from 1 species